rnacentral:tRNA from 4 species
GGAUCAUUAGCUCAGCUGGUUAGAGCACCUGACUCUUAAUCAGGGUGUCUGAGGUUCGAAUCCUUGAUGAUCCACCA